CACGUAGGGCGCAAGCGUUGUCCGGAAUUAUUGGGCGUAAAGAGCUCGUAGGCGGCCGUUCGCGUCGGAUGUGAAAGCUCAGGGCUCAACCCUGAGACGCCAUUCGAUACGGGACGGCUAGAGGUAGGUAGGGGAAAGUGGAAUUCCUGGUGUAGCGGUGAAAUGCGCAGAUAUCAGGAGGAACACCGGUGGCGAAGGCGGCUUUCUGGGCCUUACCUGACGCUGAGGAGCGAAAGCGUGGGGAGCAAACAGG
rnacentral:rRNA from 1 species